rnacentral:rRNA from 1 species
AUACGUAGGAGGCAAGCGUUGUCCGGAAUUACUGGGUGUAAAGGGAGCGCAGGCGGGACAGCAAGUUGGAUGUGAAAUACCGCAGCUCAACUGCGGAGCUGCAUCCAAAACUGUUGUUCUUGAGUGGAGUAGAGGUAGGCGGAAUUCCGAGUGUAGCGGUGAAAUGCGUAGAUAUUCGGAGGAACACCAGUGGCGAAGGCGGCCUACUGGGCUCUUACUGACGCUGAGGCUCGAAAGUGUGGGGAGCAAACAGGAUUAGAUACCCUGGUAGUCCACACUGUAAACGAUGAUUGCUAGGUGUGGGGGGUCUGACCCCUUCCGUGCCGGAGUUAACGCAAUAAGCAAUCCACCUGGGGAGUACGGCCGCAAGGUUGAAACUCAAAGGAAUCGACGGGG